UACGUAGGGUGCGAGCGUUGUCCGGAAUUAUUGGGCGUAAAGGGCUCGUAGGCGGUUUGUCACGUCAGGAGUGAAAACUCGGGGCUCAACCCCGAGCCUGCUUCUGAUACGGGCAGACUAGAGGUAUGCAGGGGAGAACGGAAUUCCGUGGUGUAGCGGUGAAAUGCGCAGAUAUCAGGAGGAACACCGGUGGCGAAGGCGGUUCUCUGGGCAUUACCUGACGCUGAGGAGCGAAAGUGUGGGGAGCGAACAGG
rnacentral:rRNA from 1 species